GCUCCGGUGGAUUAGUGGUAAGAGCGUUUGCCUCAGAUGCGAGAGGGCACGUGUUAGAACCCCAGCCGAGUCG